rnacentral:rRNA from 1 species
CCUACGGGUGGCAGCAGUGAGGAAUAUUGGUCAAUGGGCGCGAGCCUGAACCAGCCAAGUCGCGUGAGGGAAGACGGUCCUAUGGAUUGUAAACCUCUUUUGUCGGGGAGCAAAAGACGCCACGCGUGGCGUUCCGAGAGUACCCGAAGAAAAAGCAUCGGCUAACUCCGUGCCAGCAGCCGCGGUACGACGGAGGAUGCGAGCGUUAUCCGGAUUUAUUGGGUUUAAAGGGUGCGCAGGCGGAAGAUCAAUUCAGCGGUAAAAUUGAGGGGCUCAACCUCUUCGAGCCGUGGAAACUGGUUGUCUUGAGUGAGCGAGAGGUAUGCGGAAGGCGUGGUGUAGCAGUGAAAUGCAUAGAUAUCACGCAGAACUCCGAUUGCGAAGGCAGCAUACCGGCGCUCAACUGACGCUCAUGCACGAAAGUGUGGGUAUCGAACAGGAUUAGAUACCCCAGUAGUC